UCCCUGGUAGCUCAGAUGGUAAAGCAUCAGCCUACAAUGCAGAAGACCCGAGUUCAAUCCCUGGGUUGGGAA
rnacentral:tRNA from 1 species